GGAGAGGUGGCUGAGUGGUUGAAAGCGCACGCUUGGAAAGCGUGUGGUCGCUGUAAAGUGGCUCGAGAGUUCGAAUCUCUCCCUCUCCG
rnacentral:tRNA from 1 species